rnacentral:miRNA from 1 species
CAUGUGCAAAGGUGUGUGUGAGUGUGUGCAUGUGUGCACACUCAUAUCACACACACACACACACACACACACACACACA